AUGCUGGUUCCAGCAAAAAAACCCGCGUCUUCGGCUUGCUGCCGUCGUCGGCUUGCACCACUAUGCUCCAGCAAACAAAAGUCUCGUAGAUGGCUGCAGCAAAAAAAGAAGCCGGUUCCAGCAAAAAUUAACAUCGCAUCUAGCAAAACAAAAAUCAUCGUAGUCUAUGUAGCAAAUUCAAAUGCUAGUUCCAGCAAAAGUAAACAGAGGUUCCAGCAAAAAUUUGAUGUAGUGAAAAUUCAUGACGCAGACAAUGCCACCCUCCAAUUUGCAGUAAAAUCAAAAGAAGGUUCCGGCAGAAAAAGAAGUGGUUCUAGCAAAAAUCAACAGAGGUUCCAGCAAAAAUUCGAUGUAGCAAACAUUCAUGGCCGCGACGACGCCACAAUCUUCUCAAUUUGA
rnacentral:rRNA from 1 species